rnacentral:miRNA from 1 species
AAGGGCGGGAAAGGAAGGCGA